UACGAAGGGGGGCUAGCGUUGCUCGGAAUCACUGGGCGUAAAGGGUGCGUAGGCGGGUCUUUUAAGUCAGGGGUGAAAUCCCGGAGCUCAACUCCGGAACUGCCUUUGAUACUGGGGAUCUUGAGUCCGGAAGAGGUGAGUGGAACUCCGAGUGUAGAGGUGAAAUUCGUAGAUAUUCGGAAGAACACCAGUGGCGAAGGGCGGCUCACUGGUCCGGUACUGGACGCUGAGGUGCGAAAAGCGUGGGGAGCAAACAGGG
rnacentral:rRNA from 1 species